GUAUUUUUAAAGGUCAGAUGGAAUCAUAUAUUUCAUAGUUGUUACUUUUCUUUUUUUUAGGAGGUAUUGGGAAUUGAACCCAGGACCUGGUACAGGCACUCAACCACUGAUCUACAUCUGCUACCACCAGAUGUCUCUAGAGUACCUGGGAGAAUUCCUGUUCUCAAUUCUACUUCUGUUAUGUCACACUGCCGAAUAAAGUACAAUGAUAUCUAAGCAGCGACUUGUGUGACUUGCCCUUGGCCACCAACC
rnacentral:lncRNA from 1 species